rnacentral:rRNA from 1 species
CCUACGGGGGGCAGCAGUGGGGAAUAUUGGACAAUGGGGGCAACCCUGAUCCAGCCAUGCCGCGUGUGUGAAGAAGGCCCUCGGGUUGUAAAGCACUUUCAGUGAGGAAGAACGCCUGGUGGUUAAUACCCAUCAGGAAAGACAUCACUCACAGAAGAAGCACCGGCUAACUCCGUGCCAGCAGCCGCGGUAAUACGGAGGGUGCGAGCGUUAAUCGGAAUUACUGGGCGUAAAGCGCGCGUAGGUGGCUUGAUAAGCCGGUUGUGAAAGCCCCGGGCUCAACCUGGGAACGGCAUCCGGAACUGUCAAGCUAGAGUGCAGGAGAGGAAGGUAGAAUUCCCGGUGUAGGGGUGAAAUGCGUAGAGAUCGGGAGGAAUACCAGUGGCGAAGGCGGCCUUCUGGACUGACACUGACACUGAGGUGCGAAAGCGUGGGUAGCAAACAGGAUUAGAUACCCGUGUAGUC